UUUGUUUGUCAAACGGUUGGAUUUUCGAAAAGCAAGUACGAUUCAUGCAGUACUGCCAAAAACUCAGAAGCGAAGCCCUUUAACAGAAGAUCCGUCCUUAGAGAGCGCAGACCGGGUUUAGUUCAACAUUUUUUUAUAUUAUGCCAGAUCAAGAAAGAAAUGCUACACUCGGAGGAAGACGUAGAGCGAUAUAUGAGUUCUUAGUGGAUACAAGUGAAUGUAUUUUUGGAGCCGCCAUAACAGGCUUAGUGGGGAUUGGACUUGUAAUCAUUGCUUUUUGGGUAAUACAAUUUAUGGAUUCCCUCUUCGUUUUGCAUGGUGGAAAACAUGAAUAUCCGGAGGCUAUUACCACCACCAUAAGUUCAUCGGAAGUGCAACCAAGUGGAAAACCGUAAACUUCGAUAUUAUAUUUUUUAUACAAUUAUAAAAAAGAAAUGUUUAAAUACUCGUAUUAUAAUUUAGAGUACUUAUAUCACAUACGGUUCAGAAAAUUCAGUUGCAUUACGUCGGAUAAUGCCUAGAACCGAAUAUGACUUUGAAGGAAUAAAAUUCAUGCGGGCACUGACGGCAAAUUUCGUAUCGAAUAAUACUCCACGAUCCCUUAACUCUCACACUUUGUAGUGCAUCAUUUGAAAUGGAAAGACGCCACAUUUUGCACCAACGAUGUAGAUUGUUCAAGUUGAAGCUUCUGAGCAUUCCCUGAGCUAUUCACAGAUGAGAGGUUUCUAAAUCAUUCGCGAA